GAUGAACGCUGGCGGCGUGCCUAAUACAUGCAAGUCGAGCGAACAGACGAGGAGCUUGCUCCUCUGACGUUAGCGGCGGACGGGUGAGUAACACGUGGAUAACCUACCUAUAAGACUGGGAUAACUUCGGGAAACCGGUGCUAAUACCGGAUAAUAUAUUGAACCGCAUGGUUCAAUAGUGAAAGACGGUUUUGCUGUCACUUAUAGAUGGAUCCGCGCCGCAUUAGCUAGUUGGUAAGGUAACGGCUUACCAAGGCAACGAUGCGUAGCCGACCUGAGAGGGUGAUCGGCCACACUGGAACUGAGACACGGUCCAGACUCCUACGGGAGGCAGCAGUAGGGAAUCUUCCGCAAUGGGCGAAAGCCUGACGGAGCAACGCCGCGUGAGUGAUGAAGGUCUUCGGAUCGUAAAACUCUGUUAUUAGGGAAGAACAAAUGUGUAAGUAACUAUGCACGUCAUGACGGUACCUAAUCAGAAAGCCACGGCUAACUACGUG
rnacentral:rRNA from 1 species